AAUGAACGCUGGCGGUAUGCUUAACACAUGCAAGUCGAACGGACUCUUCGGAGUUAGUGGCGGACGGGUGAGUAACGCGUGAGAAUCUGGCUUUGGGUUCGGGACAACCACUGGAAACGGGGGCUAAUACCGGAUGUUCCGAGAGGUAAAAGAAAAAUUCCCUGCAGAUGAGGUCGCGUCUGAUUUGCCAAUUGGUGAGGUAAAGGACCACCAAGGAAGCCAUCAGUAGGUGGUUGGAGCGGAAGACCAGCCACAACGGGAGCGCGAAGAGGCCCAGACCCCUACGGGAGGCAGCAGCGGGGAAUUAUACGCAACGGGCGGAAGACUGAAGAAGCAAUACCGCGUGGGGGAAGAAGGAUCUUGGAUUGUAAAACAGUUCUUUUAGCGAAGAACAAAAUGACGGUACCUAAGGAAUAAGCACCGGCUAACUCCGUG
rnacentral:rRNA from 1 species